rnacentral:rRNA from 1 species
CAUUAUUGAAAAUUAAAUUUGGUUGAGUUGCUGUCAGCAUCGUGAAACAUGCUGGCACAACUUAUCCAUCUUUGAAAACCACCUGUGCAUCUCGUGUAAAUCUGGAAUGUUAUUCAAUAGUCAGACUAUUGGUUAGAGAAUUUGCUUAACAGCUUUUCUUGUCAUCAGAUUUAUGUUUUUCUUUACACACACUAUAUUGUACGCAUGUAAUCAGGAUGCCUAGUGCAAGGGGCCUUUUGUGCCUCUUAACUAAUAAGAACAACUUUCAACAACGGAUCUCUUGGCUCUCGCAUCGAUGAAGAACGCAGCGAAAUGCGAUAAGUAAUGUGAAUUGCAGAAUUCAGUGAAUCAUCGAAUCUUUGAACGCACCUUGCGCUUCUUGGUAUUCCGAGAAGCAUGUCUGUUUGAGUGUCAUAAAAUUUCUCAAUCAUUUCUGGCUCUGAUUUUUGAGCUAGUUUGACUUGGAUUGUGGAUGCUGCAGGUUUUUAUCAAAAAGUCUGCUCUUCUCAAAUGUAUUAGCAGGAGUUUGUUGAUUGCUUAUCUGUUGGUAUGAUAAAACUAAUCUAUGCUAACGAUAAUCAGUUUUUUCUGUAAUGGAUCAACUUGUGCUUCUAAUAGUCUGUUGCAGACAAUUUGUGACUAUUCUGACCUCAAAUCAGAUAGGACUACCCGCUGAACUUAA